rnacentral:lncRNA from 1 species
AGAUCCAACGGGUGUGGUGAAACAUAACGUAAAACAAGGUUCAGGUAGUGGUUGGAUAUUCAUUUUUAAAAACAAAAGAAUGGCUACCUGCUAAAACGGUUGUUGAAAAAAGGAAGCAAAGGGGUUAGCCGGUAAAGAAAAUUUGAGAUGGAAAUGAUGAGUGACGAGUGGUCGCUGGAAAAGCCAGAAAAUUGAAGAAAGAAAGUACAGUAUCUAGGUUUUGAAAGAGGAAAGCAUUAGAAGCAGCAAACGAGAUAACCAAAUUCGUAUUUCAUUAUUUCAUAUCACAAAUUAGGGAAACCAAAAAAAUUGCAGCCCCAUAAAAUCGAAGCUACAGGCGCUGGAAUGUGGCAGAAUUUGGUAAAAUGUGAAGCAUCAUCUUGUGAAGUUGUCUUCACCAUAUAAUUUUCGUAACAUCAUUCCUUGUUAUGGGUGGGUCGUGAUUAUUGGAACAUGGUGAUUUGGACAAAUCCCAGAAUUGAUCCUGCUAAAAGCAUGACAGAGCAAAGGGAAGAAGGUAUCCGUGAAAGUUACAUCAAAGUAUUAACAGGUGAACCGGAGUUAGAUGAAGUUGCCUUUUGUCGCGAAGAGAAGAAGGCAGAGGCUGAAAAUAGUGCAGAAGAUAAGAAAAAUGAG